rnacentral:rRNA from 1 species
UACAGAGGUCUCAAGCGUUGUUCGGAUUCAUUGGGCGUAAAGGGUGCGUAGGCGGCGUGGUAAGUCGGAUGUGAAAUCUCGGAGCUUAACUCCGAAACUGCAUUCGAUACUGCCGUGCUUGAGGACUGGAGAGGAGACUGGAAUUUACGGUGUAGCGGUGAAAUGCGUAGAUAUCGUAAGGAAGACCAGUGGCGAAGGCGGGUCUCGUGGACAGUUCCUGACGCUGAGGCACGAAGGCCAGGGGAGCAAACGGG